AUUCUAAAACUUUACUCUAGGCCUACAAUACGCACAACAAGAGGUUAAGUGGAUGAAAUACAAAAUCUGAUGGUGUGAAGACGAUGCCAAGACGUGGCUAUUGCCACAUUCAAACAAAAAUUAUGCAGAUACUGAGAGGAAGAAAAAGUCGCCUGUUCAUCUUCAACGUUUGCAUUUAACACGAAAAGAAAUGUGACCCUGGAGAACGUCAAUAUACCUAUGGAAAAGAUACACUGCUAAAAGUGGCGUGCAAUAUAUGGUCUCGACCUGCACCAAUCUCAUACAGCAGAUAUAAAAAGAAAUCUGUUUCAAAAGACACGAAAAAUGGUAUUGUGAUAAUAUACCAAAAUUGGUUAAUGUUCGUGAUAUCUCUACAUUCAACUGUAUAAGUACCAACUUGACCACCAGUUAAGAAUUAAAUUUCAUUUGUGAAAAUACAUGAGGGUAUGAACUGCGACGCUUCACGCCGGCCUACUUCAUGAAGCGCGUUGGAGUUUCAUGAAAAGUAUGCCGGCAGUUCAAACCCACAUCAAUUUUCAAAAAAUGAAACUUAUUUCUUAUAUUACAUUCUACUUCAUUUUUGUUCAAAUUCCCUGAUUUAAAAUAGACGUGCUAUAUUUAUCAAGUAUAGCUUUGUAUUCAUCCGCGCAUUAUAUACAACUUCGUGGUGGAAUGCUGAUCAUUACAAUUUGUAAAGAUAUCAAAGGCAAAAACAUUGAAAUGCAAAUAUUAAUUACUGUAUACAGCUUUAACUUUCCUCCGGAUUAAUUUUUACGGUUUCUUCUCUUCACAAUUUUCUUUUAGAUUGGUAAUAUUGACUGCAGUUUAAAUUUCACAGUUUUGGCCCACAGUGAAAAAACAGCGAAAAAUAAACUACAU